CUGGCGGCGUGCUAACACAUGCAAGUCGAACGCGAAAGGGACUUCGGUCCUGAGUAAAGUGGCGCACGGGUGAGUAACGCGUAGAUAACCUGUCUUCAUGUCUGGAAUAAUACGCCGAAAGGGGUACUAAUACCGGAUAUUCUUGCUUUUCAUAAGUUAUGCAAGCAAAGGUGGCCUCUGCAUAUGCUACUGCAUGAAGAGGGGUCUGCGUACCAUUAGCUAGUAGGUGGGGUAAUGGCCUACCUAGGCGACGAUGGUUAGCGGGUCUGAGAGGAUGAUCCGCCACACUGGCACUGGAACACGGGCCAGACUCCUACGGGAGGCAGCAGUGAGGAAUAUUGCGCAAUGGGGGAAACCCUGACGCAGCGACGCCGCGUGAGUGAGGAAGGCCUUCGGGUCGUAAAGCUCUGUCAAGAGGAAAGAAGUGUACAAUGGCUAAUACCUGUUGUAUUUGACGGUACCUCUAAAGGAAGCACCGGCUAACUCCGUGCCAGCCGCCGC
rnacentral:rRNA from 1 species